AUGUGUUUUAUUUAACAGACAAGUUGUACAUUAUUGGGUUCCCUUGAAACUUGGUUUCUUACAUUUAGUAUAUCCUUGUAAUAUUAGAUGCAUAACAUCUUCAAUUGGUUCAAAUAAUCUAUUUAUGGUAAGAUUGUUGAGAAAUGGAUUUUCAGGGCUAAAUGGUGUACACAAACAGUCCUUAGUGUGAAUGUACCGGUCAGGUGUAUACACUGUGAGGACUGUGAAUGGAUACUGUUAAAUUUUGUAUUGUGUUUAUCCAAAGAUUAAUAUUUACAUUCACUAUCAUCAUUACACUACAAAACUGCCUCAUUUAUAUCAAUAUAUUUACCUUAGUAUGUAAUUGUAUUGUUAGCUUUCAAGAUAUCAGUAACUUCACUCAUUUGUUGUCCAUUAAUUUUCCAGUAAUGGAUGUCACGAUGCUGCACUGACAUAAUUACUGUGAAUGGCUGAACACAUUUUAUGUUUGCAUAUUGUAUAUUUGAGCCCUUGUUGUUCUCUUAAAUAGAUCCACGUGUUGUGCCAUACUGGUUAUCUAAUUACUUUUUUUUCCAAUUUUCUAUGCUAGAUUUCAACGGAGACAGAGGAUCACCAUGCCGUCGUGAUAUGUGACAGCCUCAAAGAUGUUGAACAGAUAUCAACUGAGGCAGAGGGUCACCAUGUGGUUGUGGCAUCUGACAGCCUCAAAGAUGUUGAAAAGAUUUCAACUGAUGUAGAGGAUCACCAUGCUGCCGUGGUAUCGGACAGACUCAAAGAUUUUGAACAGGUAUUGGAUGAGAGAGAUUCUCCUACCAUGCCUCCUCUCCUUUCUUGUCCAGACAUGACAAUUCCUGAUUGUCACUCGGACAAUAUUCAUCAAAACUGCAAACACGAUGUGGUUUCCUCAGUAGUUCCAAGCUUCGAGAAAUGUGCCGUGUGCAACGGACCCUUUUCUGCCUUGAGAUGGCUUA